GUUCAUAAAAAGCAGCAACAUUAAAUAUAGAAGCCAAGAAGUUUUAUAGUCAGUUCAUACUCAUCACAUCAAGAUAACAAGUUGGUGCAACCUAUAAAAACAUAACUAAUGGCAACCAAGAAAUUUGCAUCUCUUCUGCUACCUUUGUUGAUGGCCAUGCUUACUCUCACAUUUAUCUCUACGGUUUCAGGUGAGAAAGACUGUGAACCACAUGAUUAUGGCAGUUGUCCUAAGGACAAGGAUUGUACUGCCCAUUGUGAAUCUCUCGGAUUCAAAUUGGGGGGAGUGUGUGUUCCAAGGGAAAGGAAAAAUCCUUUCUGUUGCUGCAGGACAAAUUUGACAAGUCGUCACGUGUCCCCUAAUUAAUCUUAACUUUAAUUCAAUAUGAAAUUAUGUACUCUCUCUCAAUUAUAUGAAUAAAAAAUAAAAUUC